AGAGUUUGAUCCUGGCUCAGAUUGAACGCUGGCGGCAUGCCUUACACAUGCAAGUCGAACGGCAGCACGAGAGCUUACUCUUGGUGGCGAGUGGCGAACGGGUGAGUAAUAUAUCGGAACGUACCCUAGAGUGGGGGAUAACGUAGCGAAAGUUACGCUAAUACCGCAUACGAUCUACGGAUGAAAGUGGGGGAUCGCAAGACCUCAUGCUCAUGGAGCGGCCGAUAUCUGAUUAGCUAGUUGGUGGGGUAAAAGCUCACCAAGGCGACGAUCAGUAGCUGGUCUGAGAGGACGACCAGCCACACUGGAACUGAGACACGGUCCAGACUCCUACGGGAGGCAGCAGUGGGGAAUUUUGGACAAUGGGCGCAAGCCUGAUCCAGCAGUGCCGCGUGAGUGAAGAAGGCCUUCGGGUUGUAAAGCUCUUUUGUCAGGGAAGAAACGGUGGACUCUAAUACAGAUCACUAAUGACGGUACCUGAAGAAUAAGCACCGGCUAACUACGUGCCAGCAGCCGCGGUAAUACGUAGGGUGCAAGCGUUAAUCGGAAUUACUGGGCGUAAAGCGUGCGCAGGCGGUUGUGCAAGACAGAUGUGAAAUCCCCGGGCUCAACCUGGGAAUUGCAUUUGUGACUGCACGGCUAGAGUGUGUCAGAGGGGGGUAGAAUUCCACGUGUAGCAGUGAAAUGCGUAGAGAUGUGGAGGAAUACCGAUGGCGAAGGCAGCCCCCUGGGAUAACACUGACGCUCAUGCACGAAAGCGUGGGGAGCAAACAGGAUUAGAUACUCUGGUAGUCCACGCCCUAAACGAUGUCUACUAGUUGUCGGGUCUUAAUUGACUUGGUAACGCAGCUAACGCGUGAAGUAGACCGCCUGGGGAGUACGGUCGCAAGAUUAAAACUCAAAGGAAUUGACGGGGACCCGCACAAGCGGUGGAUGAUGUGGAUUAAUUCGAUGCAACGCGAAAAACCUUACCUACCCUUGACAUGUCUGGAAUCCUUGAGAGAUCAGGGAGUGCUCGAAAGAGAAUCAGAACACAGGUGCUGCAUGGCUGUCGUCAGCUCGUGUCGUGAGAUGUUGGGUUAAGUCCCGCAACGAGCGCAACCCUUGUCAUUAGUUGCUACGAAAGGGCACUCUAAUGAGACUGCCGGUGACAAACCGGAGGAAGGUGGGGAUGACGUCAAGUCCUCAUGGCCCUUAUGGGUAGGGCUUCACACGUCAUACGAUGGUACAUACAGAGGGCCGCCAACCCGCGAGGGGGAGCUAAUCCCAGAAAGUGUAUCGUAGUACGGAUUGUAGUCUGCAACUCGACUACAUGAAGUUGGAAUCGCUAGUAAUCGCGGAUCAGCAUGUCGCGGUGAAUACGUUCCCGGGUCUUGUACACACCGCCCGUCACACCAUGGGAGCGGGUUUCACCAGAAGUGGGUAGCCUAACCGCAAGGAGGGCGCUCACCACGGUGGGAUUCGUGACUGGGGUGAAGUAGUAACAAGGUA
rnacentral:rRNA from 1 species